CACGGUAGAGCUAAACUCAAGACCUUCUUCCUGUGCGGUAACGGUGCUAACCACUGUGCCGCCCGCAUAAGAGGAGAGCCACUGAGGGAACGCCUUCCGCCCUUCCGACGCCUCCACCGUGACUCCACUUCUGAGAGGAAUUGCCUACAGAUCAAGCAUGGAGUGUGCCUGAAUGGACAUA